AGCAGAUUGGAGAUCCCCUGCCUGCAGCACGUGCUGAUCUCCAAGGGUGAGGCUGGAUGAAGCCAGGGGCUAUGGAAAGGGAGACUGUUUCAGAGGACUUGACACCAUCUUCAGUAAUUUCUCUGGUUCUUGGCAGCUCCAUUUGGCUGCGUCCCUACCCUGCAUAACCCUCCCAGCUAGUCUACUCCAGGGCAGCGUCCAGCUGGUGACCUGAGAGGGCAGUGGCGCACCAGUCUCCAUGAAGGUUGAGCUCCGAUGGCCAACGGCCAUUUCCACCUUGUGGUCUACAACUCUUCAUCCCGACUGCAUGGAGGUUGGUCUCUCUCUUCAGCUGGAUUUAGGCCACCAUCUGAGCCCCCGGGGUACGUUUUGUCUGACCCUGGCGCCAUUCGAACGGUUCUUCUACAGCAUCAGUUCUCUUUCCUGCCACCAUGUGAAGAAGGACAUGUUUGCUUCCCCUUCUGCCAUGAAUGGACAGGGUCCUGCUGUGUUGCCCAGGCUGGCCUUGAACUCCUGGCUUCAAACAGUCUUCCCACUUGGGCUCCCAAAGUGCUGGGAUUAAAGGGGCGAGUUACAGCACCAGGACCUGAAAUUAGAGACAGGGUUUCACCGUGUUAGCCAGGAUGGUCUCCAUCUUCUGACCUCGUGAUCCGCCUGCCUCGGCCUCCCAAAGUGCUGGGAUUACCGGCGUGAGCCACCAUCACCCCCCAGCAAAAGUUAGUAUUAUUAACCAAGAUGCAGAGCUCUCUGAACUGUGUUACUUGGAAUGAGCAAGUUACAGGUGGGACCUGGCCUGCCAGAAGCCAAAUCCCUUAUGCACAUCUAGAGAGAAAAUGCUGCUCAAGGGGCUAAGCAGAACUGGAACCCAGAGGCUGUUUCUGUGUAGGCAAAGAGAAUUUUUUUUUUUUGAGCUGAGCAGCUGUUCAAUCUGCAUUUGAAUCUGCUCUACUCCCUGUAAAUGGUGAGGGACAGGAAGAUGAGAAUCUAAGAAGCUGUGUUCCAAGGGAGGCUGAGAUUGGGAGGAUGCAGGUGCAUGUGAUAUCAUAAAAAAUAUAUCUGGUCUUUGUCCCCAGUUCCUGGACAGACCUUCGAAAAUACUUGGAAUUUCCCAACAGGAGUGUCUUUUGUUAUUUACAACAAGACCCUUCUGACUACGUUUGAACUUACGUUAAUGUGACUGGUGGUGGGCCCUUAGAGAGUUGAAAGGGAGGGGCUGGUCAUGCUAUUAAUAGAAAGACCAAGCAUGUGAUU
ensembl:lncRNA PPP1R3B-DT PPP1R3B divergent transcript